UACAGAGGGUGCGAGCGUUGUCCGGAAUCACUGGGCGUAAAGGGCGCGUAGGUGGCCCGACAAGUCCGUGGUGAAAGCUCGACGCUCAACGUCGAGUCGGCCAUGAAUACUGUGGGGCUGGAGCACUGUAGAGGCUCAUGGAAUUCCGGGUGUAGCGGUGGAAUGCGUAGAGAUCCGGAAGAACACCGGUGGCGAAGGCGGUGAGCUGGGCAGUAGCUGACACUGAGGCGCGACAGCGUGGGGAGCAAACAGG
rnacentral:rRNA from 1 species